AUGCAAGUCGAAUGGUAGCAAUACCAUGGCGAACGGGUGAGUAACACGUAGGUAACCUGUCUUUAAGCCGAGGAUAACCAUUGGAAACGAUGGAUAAUACUGGAUAGGACAUUUGAAGGCAUCUUUAAAUGUUUAAAGAUUUAUCACUUAGAGAGGGGCCUGCGGCGCAUUAGCUAGUUGGUGAGGUGAAGGCUUACCAAGGCGAUGAUGCGUAGCCGGACUGAGAGGUUGAACGGCCACAAUGGAACUGAGAACGGUCCAUACUCCUACGGGAGGCAGCAGUAGGGAAUUUUCGGCAAUGGGCGGAAGCCUGACCGAGCAACGCCGCGUGAACGAAGAAGUAUUUCGGUAUGUAAAGUUCUUUUAUUAGGGACGAAAAGACAGAUUGACGGUACCUAAUGAAUAAGCUCCGGCUAACUACGUGCCAGCCGCCGC
rnacentral:rRNA from 1 species